AGACGGAGGGUGCAAGCGUUAAUCGGAAUUACUGGGCGUAAAGCGCGCGUAGGCGGUUUAGUAAGUCGGAUGUGAAAGCCCCGGGCUCAACCUGGGAAUUGCAUUCGAUACUGCUUGACUAGAGUAUGGUAGAGGGAAGUGGAAUUUCCGGUGUAGCGGUGAAAUGCGUAGAUAUCGGAAGGAACACCAGUGGCGAAGGCGACUUCCUGGGCCAAUACUGACGCUAAGGUGCGAAAGCGUGGGGAGCAAACAGGAUUAGAAACCCCGGUAGUCC
rnacentral:rRNA from 1 species